GUGCAAAGGAGCAAAAUAAAUAAAUAAAUUAAAAUUAAAUACAGUUGGGAAAGAGGUAGUUGUUUGGGCUAAAUUAUAGGUGGGCUAUGUACAGGUGCAGUAAUCUGUGCAUGGUGAUGGACAGCCUGACUGAUCUGUCCAAGUCUGCAAUGGAGGAUGGUAAGUGAAAGUACCUCUUCAUCUGCAUAGGACUUCAUUGUAACAUGAUGCUCAUUACAUUGCGUUUUAUGAUGUAAACUUCACUGGUUGUGUCCAAAAUGGCACCUUCCAUGUUUAGUGCACUACUUUUGACCCUAUGGGCCCUGUUCAAAAGUAGUGCACUAUAAAUGGAAGAGAAUGGCUUUUGGGACACAGUGACUGAUUUCCAUUGUUGUGUCCUCUUCUCCCAGUUAUUGUACCCAGCUCGGUCACACCAGCUUGCUCUUCUUACUUAGACACCAGCAAUGCCGCAAGUGACAUCAUUUGUGGUGUUGUGGCUGACCUUAAUGCUACUGAGGAAUUCCCUGCCAGUGGCCUUAGCCCAGCUGAUGUAAAGGCUGACGGCAUGGCCCGCCUUCCUUCUGCCAGGGGUGAAGAGACUAAGAAGAACAGGAAGUGGCAUUUCCUACCCAAAAUUGUCAAGAUUCCAAAGAUCAGGAUUAAGCUGUACAAGACAAAAGGGGAACCGAAGAGCCACCCUGAACAGGAUUCUCUGCCUACCAAACGUCUCAGAGAGACUCGUAUUUCACAGGAUGCUGAGUGUGAGGUUCCAUCCACUUCCCCACCCAAGGAGGCCCUGACAACCACACUGGCGCCUGCUCCCCAGGAGUCCCAGUACCGUAAACGCCCUCUCAUAGUCAGGGUUGUUGCAUCCCCACACCUACCAGUGAAGCACCACAGGCUAGUAUGAGCGGUAGCUCUGGGUUGUUGUGAACUAACACCUGGCUACGAAGUAGAUGUGCUUUUCAGGAUGCCAAGACACAUAGGCUUUUCUGGGACCAUUCCCAUUUUACAUCUUUCUGCAGUGGAGCAGUCAUAGGCUUAACUAUGGUAGUUAGAUUUGGAAUGAAUUUGCCAUAAUAGUUAAGGAAGGAAAGAUAAGACCUGAACUCAGUGGUGUUUCUAGGAAUGGGAGCCUUCUCAAUAGCUUCAGUUCUGUUUCAUGGGCUGUAUCCCCUCUGCAUCUAUCACAUGACCUAAAUAGGCUAUGCUGUUCUGGAAGAAAGAACAUCUCUUAACUUUCAGAUUGCAGACUUUGUCUUUUUGGGACUUCUUCAAGAUUUCUCAUGUGCUCUUCUGUGUCACGCAUAUCAUCAAUAUAACAGAUUACCCCUUCUAUACCUUGUAGGAUCUGAACCAUCAUUUUCUGAAAAAUAUGACGCACAGGCAACACCAUAAGGAAGCCUGUUGACCUUAAAACAACCACUUAUGUGUAUUCAUGGUGAGAUAGUGCUUAGACCGCACCUCUAACUGUACUUGCUCAUAUGCCUGUGACAAAUUCAGCUUUGUUAACGUCUCACCCCCGGUCAGCUUUUUGAACAAGUCCUGUGUUUUUGGUAAGGGAUACUGAUCUACUUCCAGCCACAGAUUGAUAGUUACCUUGUAAUCUCCACAUAUUCUUACAGUACUGUCUGUUUUCAGGAUACACACAAUUGGAGCAGCCCAUUGACUGUAGUUAACUGGAGUAAGGACCCCUUCUGACUCCAACGUAACUAGCUGUUUUUCAACCGCUUCUCUAAGUGCAUACGGUACUGGGCAAGGACUGCAGAAUUUAUGUGCAGCCCUAUUAGUUACAUGUGACACAGUUACACAGCUUGGCUGUGAUACCUUUUAGCAUCCCUAGCUCUGGCUGAAACAUCUACUGUCUCUACAGCUGUUACUGUGUACAUGUGACCAGUCUAGCUUCAACUGACUGAUCCAGUCUCUACCCAGCAGGGCAGGACCAUUUCCUUCUACCACCAGCAAGUCUAAAAAAGUUGUACUCCCAUUACACUUGACCUUGACUAAGAUUUUCCCACUUAGAACUAAUGACUGUUUACUGUAUGUUUUUAACACCCAGUUUGCAGGGCUCAAUUUUGCACUUUUGAACUUGCUGUUGUACAACCUCUCUGACAUCAAACUGCUGCACCUGUAUCAACUUCCAUGUUGAGUCUCACAUCAUCUAUCCUUACAUACAAAGUCUUUACGUCUACUGCAAACAGUUCAGUUCCUUUUACGUUACCCAACUCAUAGUCAGUGGUGAAAACGGCUGAGGUCCCUUUAUCAGAGUUCUCACUCUCAUUUGAGAUGUAAUGCUCCAAACUCUGGCACUUGAGUGCGAUGCAAUGCUCCUGUGUUGAAAUGACGUUCUUGUCCCCUCUCUCGCUGGUGUGCGUUGCCCUGAUCAUCGUUGCUCCACUCGUCUUCCUGCAGUCACAGUAAGGAGGCCCCUCUCUCUCUCAGUAGCAUCCAGGUGCUUAUUCAAUUUCACUUGCCUCGUUUAAUUGUUUCCCACUUGACGCGAGCGGCAAGUCAUGGCUCCGUGUCCUUUCUUCUUGCACUCCAGAAGCUCAAAAUCCACGUAGCGCCACUCAUCUGGCUCGUGCCCUUUUCCCACACAAUGGCAACAUGGUUUACAGGUUUCCUCCGUUUUCUUGGCAACGCUUUUCUCCUCAACUGCAUUUGCUUUGAAAGUAUUUUGUGAAGACUGCAGUGUGCUUUUCCUUGUUACUUCAAAAGAAAAUCCCAUAUCCACAGCCAGUGCUAAUGUUAAAUCGUGUGUGAGCUACAUUCAGUAAACGGUCUCUCAGCUCUGCACUUUUAACACUACACACAGAUAUCACGUACUGACAGACUGAAUUUUCUUAAACUAGCCAAAUACUCACUAAUCGACUCUCCCUCGAGUUGACUCCUUGCAUGAUACUUACAUCUUUCAGCAAUACAAUUUGUCAUCGGUAUGUAGUGACCUUUCAACAGUGCAACCAACUGUCAACGUUGUUUCACUUGGUUUCUGUGGCGCAUUAAAGUCCUGUAAUGACCUGACUAGAUCAUAAUGGAACAAUUGUCCACAGAUGAUUGAGUUUACAAAUUGACGGUUUAUUAACCCAACUUUGCGCAGACUACUGUUUGGCCGUAGCCAACACCAAAUAAAUUAAAGAUAAUCCACAAACCGACCGUGACCUUCUCUUGUGAAAGCCAGAUGUAAGAGAGCGAAGAAAGGCUAAACCUGGAUUUAACUUCCAAUGCUCCACCCCCUCCCCCUGCCCCCUCCCCUCCACGCCACUCCACCAACCACCAGGAUGCCCGGAAUCAGAACAUUCCAGGCAUUGCUGUGAUUGGCAGAUAGCAGGUGGAUUGACAUGUCGGACCCCGCGAACACUGGGUACUGGACAAUGAGAAGCGGUCAACGUUGCAUGCUGCUGCCUAUCUAGGAGAUGCAGAAAUUCUAGAGCUACUCAUAUUAUCAGAGUCUGUCGUCGUCGUCCCCCCCCUCCCCGUCUUUGUGUCCCAGGAGUAAAUGCCAAAGACAAGUGUCUCAAUACACUGCACCGGGCCGUGGCUUCCUGCAGUGAGGAGGCAGUCCAGGUGCUAUUGAAACACUCUGCUGAUGUGAACGCCAGGGACAAGAACUGGCAAACGCCGCUCCACAUCGCUGCGGCCAAUAAGGCGGUCCGCUGUGCCGAGGCCCUGGUCCCUCAGCAAUGUGAACAUGUCGGACCGGGCGCUGCACCAUGCAGCGUACACCAAGAGGCUGGGGGUGGGUGGUUAGCCUCUGCCCUUCACCGCGGACCUUUUUCAUUGUUCCAGUAGGUCGGAGGAGUGAGGUGGAAAAGUCGGCUCUCAUUGCAACAAACAAAAAAAACGAUGGUGAGGCUGCUUCUCUCCAGAGAAGCCAACAUGAAUGCUUUUGACAAGGACCGCCAAGCAAUCCACUGGGCUGCUUACAUGGGUAACGAGUUGACCACAUCAUUUACAUUCUGAAUGUCCUUAUCCCAGUGAGUGAAUGGGCUGUGUGUUAGCCUCACAGCUCAGCUGUAUAGUCCACCACUAGUGUUUUAUUAUGUCAGAAUGAUGGACAAAGUAUGUUGAUAAGAUGUAGGUUUACAAUUGUACUAACAUGUAGCUUCAGCAGCAACGUCAUCAGACGGCCCAGUUGCAGCAUCAGUAGAGUACUCAUAGUCAGACGACAUGUGCCUCAGAUUACAGGUCAUCAUUUGCAGGAGUGCUACCAUGGUUUGGAGAGGCGUGUUGCUGUAGAAUACCUGUCUGUUCUACACAGUCUAGGCCAAAUUGCCAUUUAUGUUGACCAACAUGCACCCCAUGCAGUUCUAAAAGUAUGUUUCAGGCCUUAACUUCUCUGGCAUGUUUAGCGUCAGACCCUAUGGAUCGGAGCAAGGCCAGGGCAUGCACAAUGGAGACGUCAUUUGAUGACAGCUCUGAAAAAUUUAGGUUAAGGUACACAAGCAAAAGGUUUGACAACAUUAUUUAGACUGAGUUACUCUAUGCUGUUGAAUGAGUGUCAAACACAGCAGCACCAUAGACAGUGACAAAGAACAUAGCUAGCAGGGUUGUGGAAAGAAACACUUACCUCCAAGUCUCCUCUGCAGAGAGACUUGAUCUUGCUUCUGGGACUUUCCAACAG